GAAGUUCGCCAGGCAACCGCUGAUCACGAAAGUGGUUGGAGGAAAGUCCGGGCCCCACAGGGCGGAAUGCCGGCUAACGGCCGGGCGCUAUAAGUCGGGCGGUGCAAGCCGCAGGACCCAAGGCGACAGACAGUGCAACAGAAAGAUACCGCCUACGUUCGCAAGAACCGGUAAGGGUGAAAUGGUGGAGUAAGAGCCCACCGCGUUUCUGGUAACAGAAAUGGCAUGGCAAACCUCAUUCGGGGCAAGGCCAAAUAGGGGAGCAUUGGCGUGGCCCGCGUCGCUCCCGGGUAGGCUGCUAGAGGCCGUCGGUAACGGCGGUCCCAGAGGAAUGGUUGCCCACGACAGAACCCGGCUUAUCGGCGGACUUCCCAC
rnacentral:RNase_P_RNA from 1 species